rnacentral:misc_RNA from 1 species
GAUGAAGAACGUAGCGAAAUGCGAUAAGUAAUGCGAAUUGCAGAAUUUCCGUGAGUCAUCGAGUCUUUGAACGCACAUUGCGCCCCCUGGUAUUCCGGGGGGCAUGCCUGUCCGAGCGUCAUUGCUGCCCUCAAGCACGGCUUGUGUGUUGGGCCUCCGUCCUCCUCCCGGGGGACGGGCCCGAAAGGCAGCGGCGGCACCGCGUCCGGUCCUCGAGCGUAUGGGGCUUCGUCACCCGCUCUUGUAGGCCCGGCCGGCGCUUGCCGACACAUCAAUCUUUUUUCCAGGUUGACCUCGGAUCAGGUAGGGAUACCCGCUGAACUUAAGCAUAUCAAUAAGCGGAGGA